GGCUUGGAUCUGGCAUUGCUGUGGCUGUGGUGUAGACUGGCUGCUGCAGCUCCGAUUUGACUCCUAGCCCAGGAACUGAAAAAAAAAAAAAAAAAAAAAAAAAAAAAAAUCUACAGGUGCAGCUGCAAAAAGAACAAAAAGAAAUCUGCGCUCUGUUCCCAGCUUGGAUACAUGCAAAUUUAGACAAUUCUUCAGGAAUUUAGACUCACCUUCCUCACCUGUGAAUAGGGCAUAUUAAUAUUUUUUGCCCCAUAGGAUUGUUAUGAGAGUUACAUUUAAGUAUAUGAAGGUCUUGGCAUAGAGCUUAUCCUUCAUUAAAUGUUCAUAGGGAGCAACUACAGUUAGUACUAUGAGGCUGGCCCCUCUUUCCUCAAUUUGCCAAAGCAACAGGACACAACUUCCUUCUCGUGUCACCUGAGGUCCUCCUUCAGUCCCCCGUAUCUUCCAUUACACACAGCUUCAUCAUCGGCUUCUGUGAGAAGGAGGAGGAGGCCCCAUUCGCACAAGCCCUGACCUCUCUGCUUUGAGCUCUAUCAUCUCUUACCUCACCUCAAAACCACAGUGCAAAAUUCUCUCUCCCAACCUUCAAGUACUUAUACUUGGAACACAAAAGGCAGCAGCAGAUUCAAAGGAUUAGAAGUCAAAUGGUUGCCAAACCUCAGCCUCUGUCCACCAGAGCUGAAUGUAAAUGUGGAGACAGAGUUUUGGGUAAAGGAAAAAAAAAGUAGCUUUAUUUGCUUGUCAGGCAAAAGAGGCCCCAGCAGGCUAAUGCCCUAAAGACUGUGCUCCCACUUUGGGAGAGAAUAGAAAGUGGUUUUAUAGUUUGAGAGUAGAAAAUAGGGCCACAGGGAGUUCCCGUCAUGGUGCAGUGGUUAACGAAUCCGACUAGGAACCAUGAGGUUGCGGGUUUGAUCCCUGGCCUCGCUCAGUGGGUUAAGGAUCCGGCAUUGCUGUGAGCUGUGGUGUAGGUCGCAGACGAGGCUCGGAUCCUGCGUUGCUGUGGCCCUGGUGUAGGCUGGUGGCUACAGCUCCAAUGAGACCCCUAGCCUGGGAACCUCUGUAUGCCGCAGGAGCGGCCCUAGAAAGGGCAAAAAGACAAAAAAAGAAAAUAGGGCCACAGGGUAGAUGCAAGCUUUCAUCCUCCUUCAAAGCUGAUGUUUAGGGGCCCUAGGACUGGUUCUGGUGGUCCUCCUCUCUGGCUUUCAUUUGUUGGCAGUUUUAAUUCUUCAAAAGAACUCAAAGAUAUUGUUAUGCAUAUUCCUUGAGGAAUAUGCAUAACAAAGCUGCACUGUUGUUUCUUGACUGUUCCUCCUGGUCUCCCUUAGGAAAGGCCCUUUCCUAAUUAGCAACUGUUUAAACCUGCCCUUUGGAACUAGGGAAGGUCGUGGAGGCUAAAGCUUAUUCCCUAAAGACAGAAAAUGGGGGACACAGAAAUGUUUGUGCCCAGGAGGCCCACAGGGCCCUGCUUGGUUUCAACUGGUAAUCAUGCAUCUCAGAAACCCUGUAAGAAGCAAGUUCAAGGUAGGCUGGAGGGCUUGGGCUCAGUUUCUUGGAGGAAAAAAAGGUGUAGAACCAGAGAUAGGACCUGCUUCAUGGGGGUGUUAACAUCUGCCAACACACAACACCCCAGUGCUUAGAAGGACCCUAUUCUGCAGUUGCCAUCAUAAAAUUCUUACUUUUUAAGACUCCAUAUUUUUAUUUUGCACUGGGCCCCCCAAAUUAUAUAGCUGGUCCUAUCAAGAGGAAAGGAAGGGUAGAAUUGAAGACUGAGCUGACUCCCUAUAUUGGUUCUACUCCAUUCUAGAAAUGUGACCGUGCAUGAACUCACCAUUUAUCCUACACACAUUUUAUGGAUUGCCUUCUACACGCCAGCCACAGGGUUCUCAUUUAUAAAAUGGGUAUGAUGACAAUAUUUACCUUAUCGUAACAAUAUUUACCUAUUCUGUUUUGAGAAACAAAGUGUGCAUGAAGGCACUUAGCACUAUCAGGAUACAUACGCACCUGAUAGACGCAAAACGCAAUAAAGAGGAUGGUUGGCUACAAAUAUAAGGACCAAGGGAAUCCUUUCCUCCUGAGGGUCACAUUUUUUCCUGCAGAGAGGAGGAGGUGUUCCCUUACCCACCCUGAGAUGUUACAAGUUAGAAGGUGGGAAAACUGUGACCAGGGUACCAAAAGGUUUAAGGAUGAGAGAAUAAAGGAUAGGGAAGGAGAAAUAGUCUUAUCUUUAGAAUUGCUAAGAACUCUUGGGAUUUGAGCAGGUUUGGCCUUUGAAAGUAGACAAGACACAGAAGGCAGCUCUGUGGAGGGAACAGCAUGGACUAAGCCCCAGAGAUGGGAUCGUGAGAACAGCACUCAGGAAGUGGCCAACGAACUACCUAGAAUGGGUGUAAAUCUCCCACAAGAUGUUGGCACACUAGAGAAACAGGUUUUUUCCUUGUCUUCUUUAAAUCAACUUAAAUCUGGCUCCACAUCCCCAACUCACCAGGCCGGCAAGUAUGUCCAUCUCAGUCAUUACUGGAGCUCUCUAUUCAGCCCCCCACCGCCACCCCGGACUGUUCCAAGCCCCACAGGUUUUCAUAGCAUUUCUGGUCACGGGUCCUUGGUCUACACUGGUUGCUGCUGAGAUAUCUCUGCUCCUCUGGGCCUGCAAGGUACCUGUCUGGGGAUGCGGUCUGUAGACUACAGGACACAGAGAGGAGGGAGAAGCAGUGACUCCAUAGCUGAGUUCACCUCUUCAUCCGUGAAGUGACCAGUGAUGUUCAGUCAAUCCUGAAUUCAACAGACCCAAGGGUUGCGAUUAAUUACAACAGAUGAAACAUGCAAAGGACAGAUUGCCUGGGAUAGAUUGGAUGUGUGUACAUGCAUGACUGAAUCCCCUUAUUGUACAGCAGAAAUUAUCACAAACUUGUUAAUCAACUCUACUUCAAUAAAGCUUUAAACAACAAAGGCAACAACAAAUUGCUUAGAGUAUAUAAAUGCACCAUAAGUGGAAGUUGCUAUUAUCAUCAUCUCCAUCCUGCACCCAAUCAAUACACGCUGAAUAAUAACCUUCCCUUAAAGAGAGUCCAGCUUCUUAACAAUGAUAAAAAGCUCUGAAGCUAAAUUACCUAGAUUCAAAUAUCAGUUCAGGUAUUUGGGUCGCUGUGUGGCCCUGAACACCUUACUCGUGUAUCCUCUCUCUGGGCCUCGGUUUCCUUAGCUGUGAAUUGAGGUUCACAUCAGUACCGACCUAAAAGACCUGAUCACCAGUUCCAACACGAGGGGAGGAAGGUGUUGCCAAAUCUUGGUGUCUGUCCACUGGUGCCAUGUAGAAAUGCAAAGACAGAGUUUUGGGCAAAGUAGAAAAAAAUAGCUUUAUUGCUUUGCCAGGCAAAGGAGACCACAGCAGCCUAAUGCCCCAAAGACUGUGCCCUCCUUUGGGAGAGAAUAGGGGGUGGCCUUGCAGUUUUGGGGUGGAAAAUAGGGCCACAGAUAAGGAUUAGGGUAGAUGCCAGCUUUAAUUCUUCUUCAAAGAAGAAGGGUGUUUAGUGGCCCAGAACUGGUUCUGGUGGGCCUGAAUGAAGACUUGAUCAAGUAGUUAACAUCUUUCAGUUGUUGGGGAUUUUAGUUCUGCAGAAGAACCCAAAGAUAUUUUUAUGUAUAUUCCUUGAGGAGAAACUGGAACCCUGCCCCCAGGCUGCACUAUUGUUCCUUGACUGUUCUUCCUUUGUCUCUGCAUCCCCUCCCUUCCCUUGAUUAGCAACUGUUUGAACUUGCCCUUUGGAACUCAGGGAAGGUCUUGGAGACUGAAGCUUAGCCCCUAAAAACAAGAUAUGGGGGACCCGGAAAGGCUUGUGUGCCCAGGAACCCCACAGUUUCCUGCUCAGUUUCAUGAUCACAUUUUACCUUGGGUUAUAUUUCAUUUCUAUCUGUAUUAGUUUGCUAGGAGCGACCAUAACAAAACACCACAGAAUGUGUGGCUCAAGCAACAGACAUGUAUUUCCUCACAGUUCUGGAGGCCAGAAGUGCAAGAUCAAGGUCUUGUCAGGUUGGUCACUUUCUAAGACCUCUCUUCUUGGCUUAGAAAUAGCCAUCUUCUCUCCACCUCAUCACACAGUCUUCCCUCUGGGCCUGUCUGUGAAUUAACUUCCUCUUCUUAUAAGGACACCCAUCAUAGCGUUGCAGGAAGCGGGACUCCUUCCAGGACCCGAGAAUGGGCUCUUGACUAACACUCAGAAAUUAAUUGUUCAAGGAGACACAUGUGCUGACAAAACAGGAGACUUUAUCAGGAAGGGGCGCCUGGGCAGAGAGCAGCAGGAUGAGGGAACCCAGGAGAACAGCUCUGCCACGUGGCUCACAGCCUUAGGUUUUAUGGGAGUGGGGUUAAUUUCCAGGUUGCCUCUGGCCAAUCAUCUUGCUCGGCCCGUAUUCGGUCUGGCCCAGGGACUUUCUUGGUGGCAUGAGCACAUCUCAGCCAAGAUGGAUUCUGCCGCCAAGGAUCCUGGGAUGUUGGAGGUCUCCUCCCUCCUAUGGGCCCCUCCCCGUUAGUCAUCAGGGCAGCACCGUGUUCCUUAUCAGGGCCUCCUAUUGUGAGACAACUCACACAAGCGCUAUUACCAUGCCUGCCCAAGGUAGGCAGUUUCAGUCAAUGGUCCCCUAACAAUAGUAUAUUAGAGCCCACAUUCAUUUUAACUUAAUUACCUCUUGAAGACCCUAUCUCCAGUGUUCCCACUGUGGCUCAGUGGGUUAAGAAUUCUACUAGUAUCCAUGAGGAUGCAGGUCGAUCCCUGGCCUUGCCUAGUGGGAUAAACGAUCCAGCAUUGCCAUGAGCUAUGGUAUAGGUUGCAAAGAGAGCUGGGAUCUGGCAUUGCUCUGGCUGUGGGGUAGGUUGCUGGCUACUGCUCAGAUUCAAUCCCUAGCCUGGGAACUUCCAUAUCCCACAGGCACAACCCUAAAAAGACAAAAAAGGGAAUUCCCAUUGUGGCGCAACAGAAACGAAUCCAACUAGUAGCCAUGAGGAUGUGGGUUCAAUCCUUGGCCUCGUGCAGUGGGUUGAGGAUCCAGCGUUACCUGUGAGCUGUGGUGUAGGUCUCAGACCUGGCUUAGAUCCUGCAUCGGUGUGGCUGUUGUGCAGGCCAACAACUGCAGCUCCAGUUGAAUCCCUAGCCUGGGAAUUUCCGUGUGCCAGAGAUGUGGCCCUAAGAAGCAAAAAUAAAUAAAUAAAUAAAAUUUUAAAAAAUAAAAGACAAAAAAACAAGAUCCUAUCUCCAAGAAGAGUCCCAGUCUGAGGUAGCAGGGAUUAGGACUUCAGCCUAUGAGUGGGGAGCAGGGAUAACACAACUCAACCCUUAGCGUCUGUAACCAAACGAUUUCUCUCUGUAUUUCUGGAAUGCCUAGU
rnacentral:lncRNA from 1 species